rnacentral:lncRNA from 1 species
GCGUGGGUGGCCUGGCUCCUGGAGUAGGUGGCCUGGUUCCUGGCGUAGGUGGCCUGGUUCCUGGUGUUGGAGGUGUCCCAGGUGAGGAGGAGGAAGGCAAGGGUGAGAGCAGCCUGGCAGGUGUGGGGGCAGUUGUGGGGGCAGGACAGGCUUGAGGAGAACCUCAGCAGUGUCCCUGGGGGGCUGCAGACAGGGCCUGAAGGAUGGGCUCUGCCCAGGUUUGCUGUGAGGCCUUCCCAGGGUCUGACCCCCCUCUGCUGUCUCUGCCCAGGUGUUGGAGGUCCUGCAGCAGCAGCCAAAGCAGCAGCCAAGGCAGCCAAAUUUGGUGCCGGGGUUGGAGGGGUGCCAGGGGUGGUGCCUGGCGUGGGCGGAGUGCCCGGAGUGGCACCCGGUGUUGGUGGCGUGCCCGGCUUGGUGCCAGGGGUGGGAGUACCUGGAACUGGCAUCCUUCCCGGGGCAGGCAUCCCCCAAGUAGGGGUGCAGCCUGGUGCUAAACCUCCCAAAUUCGGUGUUCCUGGGGUUGGAGUCCCAGGGGUUGGUGGCCUCCCAGGUGGGGUCGGCGGCCUGGGAUUCGGCGGGAAACCCCCCAAGCCCUACGGAGGAGCUCUGGGUGCCCUGGGCUUUAGAGGCGCGGGCUGCGCGGCAGGGAAGUACUGCGGGAGGAAGCGGAAGUAACGCUCCGUCACCGAUCACCUCAUGAACUUUGGUGCUACUGCAUGGUCCAGAAUGUAAAUCCGAAGCAAAGCUGAGACACCCUCUCCUCCAGCCCCGGAGCCCCCCGUCCAUCCCGGGGCCGUUCCCCGGCAGCGCCCGGCCCCCCCCCGGCCCUCGGUCCCGGCAGGGAGCGCGGAAUAAACUGCGGGGAGCAGCCGUCCCCCUUGGUGCU